AGCGAACGCUGGCGGCAGGCCUAACACAUGCAAGUCGAGCGGCCGUAGCAAUACGGCAGCGGCAGACGGGAGAGUAACACGUGGGAACGCGCCCUUCGGUUCGGGAUAACCCAGGGAAACUUGGGCUAAUACCGGAUACGCCCUUACGGGGAAAGAUUUAUUGCCGAAGGAACGGCCCGCGUCCGAUUAGCUAGUUGGUGAGGUAACGGCUCACCAAGGCGACGAUCGGUAGCUGGUCUGAGAGGAUGACCAGCCUCACUGGGACUGAGACACGGCCCAGACUCCUACGGGAGGCAGCAGUGGGGAAUAUUGGACAAUGGGCGCAAGCCUGAUGCAGCAACGCCGCGUGGGGGACGACGGCCUUCGGGUUGUAAACCUCUUUUAGCAGGGAAGAAGCGAGAGUGACGGUACCUGCAGAAAAAGCACCGGCUAACUUCGUGCCAGCAGCCGCCGUAAGAC
rnacentral:rRNA from 1 species